rnacentral:rRNA from 1 species
GAUGAACGCUAGCUACAGGCUUAACACAUGCAAGUCGAGGGGCAGCACAGUGUAGCAAUACACGGGUGGCGACCGGCGCACGGGUGCGUAACGCGUAUCCAACCUUCCCGUUACUCUUGGAUAGCCUUCCGAAAGGGAGAUUAAUACAAGAUGGUAUUCAAAUUCCGCAUGUUAUUUGAAUUAAAGAUUUAUCGGUAACGGAUGGGGAUGCGUGACAUUAGAUAGUAGGCGGGGUAACGGCCCACCUAGUCUACGAUGUCUAGGGGUUCUGAGAGGAAGGUCCCCCACACUGGAACUGAGACACGGUCCAGACUCCUACGGGAGGCAGCAGUGAGGAAUAUUGGUCAAUGGUCGGAAGACUGAACCAGCCAAGUAGCGUGAAGGAUGAAGGUUCUAUGGAUUGUAAACUUCUUUUAUACGGGAAUAAAACACCUUACGUGUAGGGUCUUGUAUGUACCGUAUGAAUAAGCAUCGGCUAACUCCGUGCCAGCAGCCGCCGCAGUAA